AACGAACGCUGGCGGCAGGCCUAACACAUGCAAGUCGAGCGCGCCCUUCGGGGUGAGCGGCGGACGGGUGAGUAACGCGUGGGAACGUGCCCUUCUCUGCGGAAUAGCCCCGGGAAACUGAGAGUAAUACCGCAUACGCCCUUUGGGGGAAAGAUUUAUCGGAGAAGGAUCGGCCCGCGUUGGAUUAGGUAGUUGGUGGGGUAAUGGCCCACCAAGCCGACGAUCCAUAGCUGGUUUGAGAGGAUGAUCAGCCACACUGGGACUGAGACACGGCCCAGACUCCUACGGGAGGCAGCAGUGGGGAAUCUUAGACAAUGGGGGCAACCCUGAUCUAGCCAUGCCGCGUGAGUGAUGAAGGCCUUAGGGUUGUAAAGCUCUUUCAGCUGGGAAGAUAAUGACGGUACCAGCAGAAGAAGCCCCGGCUAACUCCGUG
rnacentral:rRNA from 1 species